CUGUUGGUGAAACCAGAGGAUCUUAAUGACUACAUGCCGCUGGUGUCAUACUUUAUUCGAGGCUGUUUUCUGGUCACUCCCAAGACCUUCUUACUGAAAUAAACUGUCAAAGACCACAAUGCUUCUGCGAGUCAUUGUGUCCGAAAAAGAGAUCAGACGUCUUGCAGUUUAGGACAUCCCUGGAAACAUUGAGGAACUGAACCAGGUACUGCAAACCAGCCUUGGUCUGAGAGGGGGAUUUAUCUUACAGUUUGAGGAUCCAGAUUUCAACAAUCAGUUGUGCAACCUAACAGACAUCAAAGACCUUCCUAAGGAGCGAGCGACUGUAAAAGUAAUAUUCACAGCAGAUGACUCUUCAGAUUCUACUCUGGACACAUGCAGCCUUCCUUCUGUCAGUAGUGGGGAUAUUGUUGAAUGGCCUGAUCCCUUCCCAAUUCCCCAUUUUUCACAUGAUGUGGAACUGCAAUUAAAUGAGGCAAAUAAUAGAUACACUAAAGAUGGAUCUGUGAUGGUUAUUUCCAAAGGUUUAAAAACUGACAUCCUUGACACACUUGCAGACAUCAUGUCAAAAAUCAGUGUGUAUCCUGAGAGGCAGCACUAUGAAAGAGUGGCCAGAGCACUGGUAGAGAAGCAUCCCUGUCUGCGAGAUCCAGGUUCUGAAAAGGGGUGGUACUCAUGGUUUCACAGCCUGAAGUUUAAACUUGGAAACUACCGGCAAAAGUUAAGUGCAGCAGGAUGUUCUGAAGUGGUCAUAAACAAAAGAAAAGGAGAAGGUUUGAAAGGACAAAAUGUCAAGAGGUCAAAGAAGGGGGAGGUGAACUACUGUCCUGAUCCACCAGAAGGACAAAAUCUUGAAAACAUGGAGGAGAAACGGAAAAUAAUGGAGUCUGAAAUGCGGAAAAAAGAUCCUGAUCACCAAUUCGUAGAGGAUCUGAUGGUUUUCCCAACGUAGAAAAGAGAUUGUUGGAGAUCAACCACUCAUCGCAGAGGUCCUUUCCCGAUGGCCAGCUCUGUUCAAUGAGAGACAGAUAAAGGCAGAAUUCAAAAGAAUUGUCAACACUGAUCUUCUGCAGUCUUUUCUUGAUGGGCUUGACAGCUUGGUCCCAAGACUGCUAGAAUUAUACAAAUCAGCAGCGAGGUCUGGAAAGAAGCAGGCCCUUAAACGCAUUUUGGACUGCCUUAUGAGGGAUGACACAACUGAGAGGAGAAGGGCUGCUGCUCUACUUGGUCUGCCACAAUACAUAUCAGGCGAAGAUCCAGGAAAUGUCAUCAGGAUAUGUGAUGUUCACAUUGAGAUUCUGGAAGAAGCCAUGAAGGGGAUGCAACUUGGCCUCCUGAUAGGUUGUGAGAGUGGUGAACCAGGUGCUAUCCCACGCGAGGUCUUUGAUGUGGCAGUUAUUGUUGAUGAGACCAUUGUUCUUCACAAAAUUAAAGAUGUUGUAGUUGCAUUUUCAUUGCUUAUGGGUGUAAUCUAUUGCAUGAAUCUUGAGUAUCCGUAUGCUAUGAAGUAUACAUUUGAGUUUCUUCAGAGAGUAGUUAUGAAGAUCAAACCAGACCAAGCUUCAGCCAGAGUCCAUGGACUAAGGAACAAAAUACUGAGGUACAAACUGUAACAUCUGUCUGCGCUGACAGUCUUAAUUUUGUUUGACUAAUAAGUUAUAGUAAGUUUUCUUUCUUCAGACAGACUUGCUUUAUUUUGUAUGUUGUAUGUUAUUUAAAAGUUCAAUGCACUUUAAAAUGUUGGCAAACUCUGCACAGUUGAAACUGUUUUUGAAUGGUAGGAGACAGUUCUAUUCAGUCAUAUGAUUUUUCAUCACAUUUUCAAAAUGUUCAAAAAACCAAACUGUUCAUGUAUUUGGUACAUUA